UCCACGUAGUAGGGGGUGCCUCCAGUAGCUUCUUCUCAUCUCUUUUCCUUUCUUUUUCUCUCAGCCCUUAGAGCAAGCUUAGGGAGAAAAGCUUGAUAGAGUUGGAUUCUUCCUUCUGUUGGAGCUGAGGGAAGUGGCCGAGAAGCAAGCUUGCGCUGUUGGUGCUGAAAUCAACGUGACAGGAUUCUAGAAUAAGAAAUAGAAGAUCUGGUGGAAUUGAAGCUCUUGCUGAUCCGAGCUGAGGAAAUCUGGAAAAAGAAGCUUUGACUUAGGGGUUGAUAAAUCAUGAAGGAGAUUGAUUGCUUGGUGUUGAUCUGAGGGAAAGAGUCUUGAGUAGAAUCUCUUGUAGCUGAAGUGCUGAUUUAAAGUAAGUUGACCAUCAAGCGAAGGAAUUGAUAUUGGGCUAUUUGAGGCAGUGAGCAAGUUGGUACAACCUGGAAUUGAAAGCUACUGCCUGGACAAACUGGGCACCUGAAUUGAAGAAGCUUAGUGGAGCUUCUUUGACAAUUCGAGCUACAACAAGUCUGGGGGAGCCUGGAAAUUAACAAGCUAUGAAAGGGAUGAUGAAGUGCUGAAAUUUCAGCAAGAAUUCAGCAUGAUGCAGGAUUCAUUGAGCUGAAAUCAAGCCAGUUGGACGAUGAAGUAAAUUUCAGCAAUAAGGCUUAAUUGCUGUUGGAACUUGAAGCAUAUUAGUUGAGCAACAAGCUGAGUGGCUGCAGCUGAGGUGGAGUUGCUGCCCUGGUGUAAUCUGGGUAGCUACAUUGAGAAGUAUUGCUGAAGUUGCUGUUUCAAGGUCGACGACGCGCUAAUUACGGUAGAGGUCGUUCUAGUUCUAUUUACACUGAGUCGCGAGAGUUAGUUGUCGACACAUUCCGAGACGUGAGAUCUUAGUUGUUGACACCACUACAGGUGGGUGGUGCUAUCCGAAAUCUCUGAAUCACUUUUUAUGUCUAAAAUAUUUCAUUGAGCUUAAUUGUCUACUUACAAUGAAUUCAUGCAUUACAGGGCAUUGAGAGUAUGUAAAGAAUAUUGAUUAUGCAAUUGUGUAUCAACCUUGUAAAUAUAUGAACAUAGAAUGUGAAU